UAAUGUGUAAAUAUGAUGAGAGUUCAUAUAACAUCUUAUAUCUUUCUUAUAUAUAUAUAAAAGUUGUAAGAUUGACAUAAAUACUAGGGAUUAAGAAUUGAUGAUGCUAAUUAUGAUUUUACUGAGGUUAUUCUAAUUGGGAGUAGAUUUGGGCUUAUGAUGAUGGAGUUUAGCUUGAAGUUUGAAGAUGCUACAAAAUAUCAAUUAAAGGACACUUUAAUGCACUGUGUUGCUAAGAAAAAAAAAUCUCUCAUGUGUUCGUUGAUCGACUAAGUGAAGGGAAUGUGUAUUUUCUGAGAGGUUCUGAUGUGGAGAAUAGGACUGAAUAUAUGCUUAUGGAAGAGAAACCGUGUAUUAUUAACCUACAAGGUGAUACGAUUGUUACCAAAGUCAAUGAAGACGCCAGCAGAUUCAUACGUCACCCCUCCAACCUUACCAAAUUUGAAGCCUUCAAAUCGACAAAUAAGCAGUGUGUGUAUACAUAUUGUUGAGAGCGACAGGUUUGGGUGACACUCUGGGGUGAUUUUUGUGCUGCAAUGAUUGAGAAGGAGUCGGGCCCUCCUGCUUUGCCUCUUAUUCUGACCUCCAUGAGCGCCAAGUCUUGCAUGAGUAUGCGUUUGAUGUAUUGAGGUUGCUUUGUUUGUGUUCUCUAUACACCUUUGCUGUUGAUGUAAUUACUUUUCCCCCACCCUUUGCCUAUCAAGUUAAUCUUCGACUUUGCUGAUUGAUAGUGAUGAUGUACCCGCUCUAAAGACAUUCAAAUCUUUGCUCAAGUUGGUUGUGAUUUCUGCAACCAAGUUCAUUGCCAUGUUCUGUAUAACAUACAGUCGGCUCAAUUCUUCAUACUAUGUUUCAGUUGUGAGCAUGUGGAUGACUACACCGAGCCUAUUACUGAAGAAACGCCGGUUGUGCAAACACUACAUAAGCUGUUGGGUUGUUCUCGCGAUGGGAAGGGAAAAAAAGUUCUGUGAAUGGUUCAUUCAGCCUGCUCCGUCGUCUAUUUAUUAUUAAUGUCCAAUCCAUUACUUAUAGUGUGAUGGGUGCAGGUUGUUCUUUUCGUAAACACUAUUGAGAUACUCAACUGUUCACGUGUAAUGGUGGCAAGUGUCGCAAGGGACUGGAGCGAGCUUUUGGCUUUUUUAAGUGCAAGGGUUGAAUAUCCGCGCACAAGGUGUAGAGCCUUUACGGAGCGAAUUCUCUGUUUAAUACUCUACUGUAUUUAUGACACACGAUGUUGCAUUUUAAAGAAGGUAUUGUUUAUUGUCUUCGAAGUGUAGUCACAUUAUGAUUUGUUAUGCUGGAACUUGAUGUUACCGACGGAAUAAUGCGUACAAUUGUGGUUUUGUU